rnacentral:misc_RNA from 1 species
GAAAAGCGCAAAAAGGUUGCAACAUGGAAUCAAACAAUAUAAUCAAAUUGCAUUUAAAAAAAAAAUUCACAUCUUAGAAGUUUCUCUCGUAGAAGUUCACGCAGGAAGUCUUUUUCUUUUCCUGCAAAUUCGUAAUCACUUAUCAUGUAAAAACCAAACAACUUCUCUGCCAAGUUCUCUGCCAAGUUUGUUUAAUAAAAUCUCACUUUCCCAAUUUGCUUGGUAACCCUUAUAACCAUGGAAAGGCAAACUAGCACGUGAAGUAUCACGCUCAACCACAACAAACACAGCAUCAAAAUCAAACUGCAAUAACCAUAACAUUCUAUGUGAAUAAUGACAAGAUCCUUUCUCUUGAGGAAAGUCACAAUCUUACAAGAUAAUGUAAUCACUCUUCCUUGCCAAAAAUAAUGUUU